AUUGAACGCUGGCGGCAUGCUUUACACAUGCAAGUCGAACGGUAACAGCACUUCGGUGGCUGACGAGUGGCGAACGGGUGCGUAAUACAUCGGAACGUGCCUAGUAGUUGGGGAUAACUACUCGAAAGAGUAGCUAAUACCGCAUGAGAUCUAAGGAUGAAAGCAGUGGACCUUCGGGCCUUGCGCUACUAGAGCGGCUGAUGGCAGAUUAGGUAGUUGGUGGGAUAAAAGCUUACCAAGCCGACGAUCUGUAGCUGGUCUGAGAGGACGACCAGCCACACUGGGACUGAGACACGGCCCAGACUCCUACGGGAGGCAGCAGUGGGGAAUGUUGGACAAUGGGCGCAAGCCUGAUCCAGCAAUGCCGCGUGCAGGAUGAAGGCCUUCGGGUUGUAAACUGCUUUUGUACGGAACGAAAAGCCCUCUUCUAAUACAGGAGGGUCAUGACGGUACCGUAAGAAUAAGCACCGGCUAACUACGUG
rnacentral:rRNA from 1 species